rnacentral:rRNA from 1 species
UACGUAGGGGGCAAGCGUUAUCCGGAUUCACUGGGGGUAAAGGGAGCGCAGGCGGCAUGGCAAGUCUGAUGUGAAAACCCGGGGCCCAACCCCGGGAGUGCAUUGGAAACUGCCAGGCUGGAGUGUCGGAGGGGUAAGCGGAAUUCCUAGUGUAGCGGUGAAAUGCGUAGAUAUUAGGAGGAACACCAGUGGCGAAGGCGGCUUACUGGACGACUACUGACGCUGAGGCUCGAAAGCGUGGGGAGCAAACAGG